GGGCAGGUGGUGGAACUGGCAGACACAACGGACUUAAAAUCCGUCGGCCGCAAGGCCAUGCGGGUUCGAAUCCCGCCCCGCCCA
rnacentral:tRNA from 1 species